GUGUGCGUGUCGAAGGUCACGGCGCGCUCACAAUGGAGCUCUCGGAGUCUGUGCAGAAAGGCUUCCAGAUGCUGGCGGAUCCCGGCUCCUUCGACUCCAACGCCUUCACGCUUCUCCUCCGGGCGGCAUUCCAGAGUCUGCUGGACGCCCAGGCGGACGAGGCCGUGUUAGAUCAUCCAGACUUGAAACAUAUCGACCCAGUGGUUUUAAAACAUUGUCAUGCAGCAGCUGCAACUUACAUACUAGAGGCAGGAAAGCACCGAGCUGACAAGUCAACUCUAAGCACUUAUCUAGAAGACUGUAAAUUUGACAGAGAGCGAAUAGAACUGUUUUGCACGGAAUAUCAGAAUAAUAAGAAUUCCCUAGAAAUCCUACUGGGAAGGUAGGUACUGUAUAAGGUGUCAAGCUGAGGCACUUUUCACUUGCAGGUAUGAAUGGAGAGUGUUGGUGUGAAACAAGAUCUUCGGGAUCUUGACCCAAAGAAAAGGAGCCAAAGGGCAUGUCAAACAAUUGAAGUUAAGCUAAUGUUUUUAAAGAUAGUUUAUUGAGAUGAUUUUGAAAUGCUCCUUUACCAUUCAGAAUUUAAAAAUAAAGUUUAACAAUGGUUUAAAUUCAGAAUGGAUUAAAAUGGAGUUGGGGGUGGAAAGUAGAGCCAUUCUUAGUAAAUAAUAAAUAACUGAAAAGUUCUUUUGAGAAGACUAUGUACAAAGUUAUCAUUGCAUCUUUCAGUAUAGGCAGAUCGCUCCCUCAUAUAACGGAUGUUUCUUGGCGCUUGGAAUAUCAGAUAAAGACCAAUCAACUUCAUAGGAUGUACAGACCUGCAUAUUUGGUGACCUUAAGUGUACAGGUAUUUAUAGAUAAGUCUUAUCCAGUAAUGAAAUUUAUAAUUUUAUUGAUUUAAAUAAACAGCGUUUUUUGUUGCGUGUUUUUUUUCCUGCCCUAGAACACUGAUUCCCCAUCCUAUCCAGAGAUUAGUUUUAGUUGCAGCAUGGAACAAUUACAGGUACAGUAUUAGGAUCUAUAAAUAUGCCUGUCUUUUUAUAAAUGUUUACUUGAGAGUUAUACUCUUGGAAAGUUCAAAAGAAAAUUAACCAUUUGUCAGCAGAUAAUGAAGAUUGGUUAAGGAUUUAAUGUGAAAGGGGCAUCAAAAGUAGUAUUUUAAGAUAGGCUUCACUUGAAAUUAAGAUGUUAUUAAUAGAGAAUUGGUCUGUAUUUGCUGUUCUUGCUGAUUAAAAUAAACUUCUGUAGUGUUUAGUGUAAAUUUCUUCUAUUCAUGAUGAGUUUGAUCCAAUAAGAUAAAGCAAAAUUAAGAGCAUGGCUUUGAAAAUGUCUUUGCUUUCAGAGAUUGAAUUAAACUGUCAGAACUGGAUUUUGAAACUUUUUUAAUGACUUUUUAUAAAGGGGGAAGUAUACAUAACAUUCUAAAACUGUUUAUAUUGCCCAUUUAAGACUGGGGAAAUUCAAAACUACAUUUAUUAGUGGAUAUGACAACGAAUUUAUUUCAUAGCUUUUAAAAAAUGAAGCUCAUUACUGGAAAUUUAAGUGAAAUUGAAUUUUUCAAAGGCAUCUUCUGCAGAGUCGUUUUAAUGUAACUAUGAAUCAAACUUUCAACUUUCAGAAAAUGUGUAUACAGCAUAACCUUUGUUAUAUAACUUGAGAAAAUUCAGAUGUAUCUGGGCGGUUAAGGAUCCGGUUAGAAAUCAUGUUUCAGUGUGAGUGCAAAUAACCGAUUUGAACAUGAGGUAUUUCCGAGGAAACGCUUAUUUCGCCCGAUAGUAGUUUGUCAAAGGUUAAAAUCUUGUUGAAUUUGAAACUUGUUUGGAAGGUGUGUCCUGAUUUAUUUUCUUGCAUCUUUCUUGAGCUUGGAUACUUCUUUCCAUGUUUUAUCCUAAAAACGUGGUAUUGUAUACACGUCUUUUAGGACUUGGUGGGGAAACUUAAAGAUGCUUCGAAAAGCCUGGAAAGAGCAACUCAGUUGUAACUUGGGGAAGUUAACGAUCCGCCCGAGUGCAGAGGAAAACCAGAGACGCCUUGCCUUCAGCUGAACCACCGUUUGUGCGAGCUGGAUGUCCUUUUCAGUAGAAAAGAAUUUUCUUUUUGAAUUUAUGCCAUUCAUCAAUUUUGACACUUUAAAAACAUGUGUGAAAGGGUUAAGAGGGAAAGAUACUGCCCAAGUAUUUGAAUCGUUUAGUAGUAACUGUCCAUUUAUCCUAUUUUGAUCUUUUUCAAGUCUUCUGAAAGGAAGUAGACAGUAUUACACCCUGAAUAAAUAAGGUGGUGUUUUCCACAAA
rnacentral:sRNA from 1 species